UACGUAGGUGGCAAGCGUUAUCCGGAAUUACUGGGUGUAAAGGGCGCGCAGGCGGCCCUGCAAGUCGGAUGUGAAAGAUCAAGGCUCAACCUUGACAGGCCAUUCGAAACUGUGGGACUCGAGUGUCAGAGGGGAAAGUGGAAUUCCUAGUGGAGCGGUAAAAUGCGCAGAUAUUAGGAGGAACACCGGUGGCGAAGGCGACUUUCUGGCUGACAACUGACGCUGAGGCGCGAAAGCGUGGGGAGCAAACAGGAUUAGAUACCCU
rnacentral:rRNA from 1 species